CUUGAGAAGGUGGCUGUGGUGACUAAUUGUGACUCUUGCUCUAUAGCGAACACCAAACAUCUAUUGGCUAUAAAAGGAAGUUAUUGGUGAUUGCUCUUGUCAAUCUGCCAGGACUUAGAAUCAUCUGGGAGGCACACCUGCAAGUGUGUUUCCAGAGAGGAUAAAGUGAAGAUGGGAUCUCAAAGUGGGAUUUCAUCUUCUAGGAGCAUAGAAUAUGGACUCAGUAAUCUUGCAUCAUCAUGAGAAGCCAUGCACUUACUUGGAGCAAACCCGGAUGAGCAGGGAUCCUCGGCGGCAGCCUUAGCAGUGUCUCUCGCCCCAGACUGCCAGUUGGUAUGCAUCCCAUCUCAGGAGGAAAUGAUGGUUAAAUACCAAAACAUCUUCCAGUGUCAGCCCCACAUGGAACCCUCAAGAACAGUCCAGUUUACUGACCUCUCCCAUAGUUAUCUAACAUCAGCUGACUGCAAUAAAAUGUAAGCUGCAUCAAGAUCUGUGUCUUGCUUCGCCAUCAUCACAGAAGCUUCCUCCCACAGUAGAUGGGAACAAAUUCAAAGACCGAUGUCCAAACAAUUCGCAGAGAGAGAGAGAGAGAUACAAGGGAUGUCUCCAUCAAUCCCCCCCGCCCGCCCCCACAACAAGGCCUUAGGGAGCUCUGCAGAAGAGGGGGCAGAAAGAUUGCAAGAGCCAGAGGAGAUGGACACCAAAGAAUCAAGGUCUUCUAGCUACAAGACUGGAGCCCAUAUGAAUUCACAGAGACUGUGGCAGCAUGCACAGAGCCUAUGCGGACCUGCACCACAUGGGGUCCUAGAGCUGAAAGCCUUGGGCACAUGCCCUCAUCCCUAUCAUAGAUGCUCUCUCCAAUUGAUAGGCACUUGCAAAGGAAAACUUAGUUUUCUCUAAGGGAGACUCAUAGGAGAAACAAACCAGUCCUAAGGCUAGGCCCCAUGCCCAGCAGUAGAUGGCCAACACAAAACUAUCUCAAUGGUCUUGUCAGAGGUUCUUUGUCUCAAAAUGUUAAGU